UACGUAGGGUGCGAGCGUUGUCCGGAAUUAUUGGGCGUAAAGGGCUCGUAGGCGGUUUGUCGCGUCGGGAGUGAAAUCAUCUGGCUUAACUGGGUGCUUGCUUUCGAUACGGGCAGACUAGAGGUAUGCAGGGGAGAACGGAAUUCCUGGUGUAGGCGGUGAAAUGCGCAGAUAUCAGGAGGAACACCGGUGGCGAAGGCGGGUCU
rnacentral:rRNA from 1 species